UUUCUGGAGAUCCCUCUUUGGUGAAGCUUUCCCUUGUGAACUUGGACUCUUCUGAUAUAGAAGGCACCGGAAGCUAUAAAAAUGAAAAGAGAUGGAUGGAUAAUUCUGACAUUCUCAGCCUCAGUCUGGAGAGGGAUCUGGAAGGAGCUGGGAGCCUGCUCAGCUGCUGCUUGACGGACUGCUUUUCAUCCAUUUUGAGAGGAAGCCUCAGAAGCUGAGCUCUCGAGCGGAAAUGGAGGACGAAGUGAGGUGCAAGGGAGCAUGUGGCCCAGAAGAGGCAUACAAAUCCUGCCUACACACUCUAUGUGAACAGCCGGAGCUGACUCACGGGCAGCACAGGAUGAGACAUUUCUCGGAGAAGAGGGAGGGGUGUGGUUAUCGUUGUCAUUUCACCGUAGCAGAUAGAACGCUGUCUGGAGACACCGCCCUUGCUGGAAAAUUGAUUAAGGUCUGGAUUUGGAAGGAGGGACUUUCCCCAAAACUCUGCACCUGUGGAUACCAGCCAUCAGACACCGCCACUUCACAUGCACCUCCAGCUCUGAGGGUCAGCCGAAGUCAUCCUAGCUUGCAAGAUCCUAUCCUAUAUAAAGGACAAGAAAUAGGUGUGAGACAGGAGGCAGGAAAUGUGUCAUUUCACUAUAACUGUGCAGAAAAUGGUCAGAUGCUGUGGAUAGUCACUGGGGAAGCUGAGGGAGCCAUGCCCCUGAGCAUCCAUUCCAGCACAGCUCUAAAGGAGUCUAUGGCUGAGUUGCUUGGGAGGCAACACACCUAGCACAGAGAUACACACUUCUGCCAAGGAAGUCCUUCAGUCUUAGGAACUCCUAAAGAUCCACCUGACUUGAACAUCUUUUGCCUUUGUGGUGGAACUCAGCUGCAGAUCAUGGCAGGGAUCUUCACCAGCUUGACACAUUCACCAAAAGAAGAACAAUCUGAGCUAAUAAAAGAAGGAAAUGAAUUAGGAAGCAAUUUGUUGAACUGGAUUUUAUUCUUUACUAAAACUUAAAUCUUGUUUGAUCGGACUUUUGUUUUUAUUGCCUUGGUCUCAGCCUUUUUGCUGUGAUUUUAACAUUUCCUUUUUGGCUUUUGUAGCCUUCAUCCUGAUGUACAGAAUUCAGAAUAAAGGUGAGUUUAGUUAUCCCAUGGGGACAUACGAAGGAAAGACAAAUCAAACUGAACGAGAGCCUUGGUAGAAAACGCAGCGUAUCUAACAAUGCAUAAUUGGCAACAGAAAACGUGUCAGAUGGGAUUUGUUUGGAGAAGAACUUCCAAAGAAGGCUGAGAGCCAAGCUGAAGUAGUCACCUAAAGUUACUUUAAGAUUUAUGUGCUGAUGAUAGACUGUGGGGCAAAGCAUUCACACGGGGAAGGCCACGCUCACUAGUUCACUUGGUCAAUUCUCAAUAAAGAAUUACCAGCCCUGAGUGAUAUUGCUUGGAACAGGUAUCUACCAUUAAAAUUUUAAAAACACGGAAUAAAAUGCAGAUCAUCGUGAUGUAGAUCUUACAGCUCCAGGAUGAUGCUAAAACUACACUCUAUUUGGCUAUGGUAACACGUCCAAUUCUCAUCUGCUUCAGACAGAAAAUGUUUAUAGAAAAAUAACUGAGCAAGGUUAAUCAGAACGUACUCAAACUUUUCUGUCUUAUCAACAAAAUCUUUGUAAAGGUAUUCAAACAGUGGGUUGCUUUCCAGAGAGAAUAAACAGCAAGGUAUCAAUAGCAGAGCUUGUAACAUGCUAUGACCUGAUAGCAGCCUUUCAAUAUCUAAAAGGGAGCUACAGGAAAGAAGAGACAGACUCUUUAGCAGGGUGUGUGGUGGUAUAACAAGGGCAAAUGGUUUCAAGCUUAAAGAGGGUAGAUUUAGGCUGGAUACAAGGAAAAACUCUUUUACUGUGGGGGUGGUGAGGCACUGGAACAGGUUGCCCAGUGCUGUGGUUGAUGCUCCAGAAAGACUGUCAAGGAGAGGCUGGAUCAGGCUCUGAGCAACCUGAUCUAGCUGUGGUGUCCCUGUUCAUUGCAGGGGAGUUGGACUAGAUGGCCUUUAAAGGUCUCUUCUAACUCUGAGGAUUCUAUGACUCUAUGCAGGCUAUGCAGUCUAAGCUGCUACAAAAUAAAGAAAUAGCUGCUCAUUUGGGGAUGUCAGUGAGAGAUCAGCAUAGCGUUGUUGGCAGGCGGGGAAUGCGUUGUUCAAACAGAGAGAGAAAUAAUAAGUCAAGAUACGUGCAAUGUUUCAUCUUUUCUAUUCCCUGUACUCAGGAUUAACGCUUUCAUGUAUGGAAUAUGCUAGAAGAUGGGGAUAAGGUGGCAGAUGAAAUUCAUUAAUGAGAGACACAAGCCAGGGGACAGAUAGAACAUGAUAAAUUGGUCUCCUUGUGCAGAACACUGAUUACUAAACCAUGAUGACUGCUCCGAAAGUAAUGCAUCCUGUUUUAUUAUAUUGGCCCAUUAUAUCAGAGGCAAAUGUUGGUAGUAUGGCAGUAGAUGCUGAACCUCCCCACCAAUAUUCCAUUAUAUUUUGUUGCUGUAAGACAGAUGGUGGUAGAGGGACAGUCUGACAAAAUGGCAUCUGACAUGGAAGUGUGUAUAAAGCAAAGGGGCGGGAACUGAAUUCCUCCUUGUGAAAAAAAUAGCACUCAGCAGUGGCAACAGUGACAGUGGGUCACCUCCACCAGUGCAGAUGUUUACAAGCAUGAAAUGCAGGCUCUGGUUCAUUGCUGGUGAAGAUGCAUAGCAAAUGGUGGUGACUGUGUUGAAAAAGUGCUUUGUAGCUGAGAAUUUACUCUAUCAAGUACUGUUAUUGUGCUCCUUGUAUCCAUUGUUGUUUACAUGGAAAUAAAUAGGAGGCAUUACUUUCAGAGAUACCUAUAUAUGUACUUCUUGCUGCUUAGGGAAGAGAUCUUGGGGUCACUGUGGUUAACGCUCCAAAAAUGGUUAUGGAUGACUCAGAGAAAGUCAGAAAGAUUCUAAGAGAGAAGAGUGAAACAAAAACAAUCGUUUCACUGUCUGAAUUUAUCAUCCACCUACACUGUGGUUAUUGCAGGCAGUUCUGUUCCCCAGCCUCAGAAAGGACUGUCAAGUGAAAGAAAGGUUAGGGAAAGCUACAGGAUGAUCAGAGCUAUGGAAUGUGAGGGGAAAGUAGAGAGACUGCAGUUUUUUGUGUUUUGGUUUCUUUUUUAUCUUGAAAAAGAGAGAAUUGUGAGGAAAUGUAAUAGCUAUAAAACCAAGACAGCGGGGGAGGAGAUAGAUAGGAAGCACUUACUCAUUACAACCUGCAUCAGAAAAACUAGAAUUAUCAGGCAGUAUUAUUGGUUUAAAUCAUUACACACAGAGCACAAUUGUGCUGUGGAAUUCAUUCCCACAGGAUGCCAUGGCAGACAAAAAUAAAUUAAGUCACAAGAAAAUACCAGACAAUUUACAGGGAAUACCUCAAUCAAGACCUUAUUAAUGCAAUAUGCCCUCUCCUGAUCCAGAAAACCUCUAGCUGCUGAUGGCUGGACAGGUACAUCAGAGAAAAAAUCACCUCAUUCAUGAUGCUUUUGCUCUAUCUCUACUCAUCUGCUAUGGACCACAGUCAGAAAUAGGAUGCUGGGUCAGACGGACUGGUACAGAUGACCAUAUUGCCCAGGCUUGCACUUGCUGUGUGAUCUGGGUAACAGGUCACAAUGCCAUCAGAAAGUGAGCAUUAUGUAUAAGAGCUGAGUUUUCCAAAGAAACUGCAGCCAUUAACGGAGCAUUAAGUUGACCAGAAGUGUCAGUAAUAAUAAAAUUAAAUACAGAAGUAAAGUCAUGCUUUUACAAGUCUUUAGAAAUAAUAGUAACCUCAUUCAAUCAACAGAAGAUUGAUUCAUUGGAUACCUGCUUUCCUUGCCAGGUUCUUUUUUCCCUUUGGGAGUGCAGAACAAAUAUAAGAAACCAAUCAUCAGGGUCCUUAAUUUACACCCAAAUUAAAGAAACAUCAUUUAUUACAAGGAGGAGUUAUUGCUCCACUCAAGGUGGGAAUGUGAAACUUUUUAAAGCCAGUGACUUUUUACAGUUCAGUCACAAAACCACUUCCCACAGGGUGUCUGCUAGGUGGCCCUCAUGGUGCUUUGCUGCAAGAAAAGCUCCCACGCAAAGGAACAGAUUGAGGUACUCUGUGAAAGAGUGAAAAACCCGUAGCUUUUGUCUCAGUGUAUAAAAGCUCUUCCUAAUUCUAUUUCAAGACAGAUGAACUUUUGAUAAAUAAUAACCCAUCUGGGUUCUGCAAAUGCCUUGAUAGCCAUAGAGUGAGUGCCUACCAUAGCACAGGUCUUUCUAGACAAUGCUACAGAGGCCCCUCCCCCAUAGAACAGUGAGUAUCAGCACCCGAUGGGGACAUAAUAUUUACUGUGGGUAUUGUAUGGUAACUGUUGAGUCAGGGCCUGAACCACUGAUUCAGCACCUGGGAAAGGACCCGGUCAGCCCUGGGAGCACAGGUGAAGGCAAUUCUGCUGUGUGACCAGAAGGGGUGGAGCCUCUCUUAGACCUCAUUUAAGGGCUGACCCCUACUAGGAGGGAUUUCUGGUUGGAGAUCUUUUCUUUGUGGAGCUUUCCCUGGGAGCCUUGAUGCGCAAAAAUUGGUUGCUUUGUGCCAGUUGCAUGUCCAGCAGCAAUGACUCUGUGCUCCCCACGCGCCUCCCUUCAGCAUGAGUUUCCUUACUACGUGCUCAGGGACUUGCUCUGCGCUAACAGGAAGGACUGAUCCGCUGCCCAGCCUGUUACUCAGUACCAGGAUUGAUUCUGACAAAGAUUAACUGGAACAGGUGAAUAUUGAGGCAUCUUUGCAGCACAGAAUGCUUGCGGCACAGCACAACUUUGGCUUGUACUCUGAUUCCUUGGCCAUCAGCAGAAGACAGGCAUAACUUGGAAGCAAGGCUUGACUGGUGCGGUACCACUAUUUCCAGCCAAGCAGGCAGCACAGUGGUUUACUGGAAGUGGUGUUUGCCCCUUUGCACCCCAAGCACUUUCUGAAAAACUCACAUUUAAAUUCGUCAGCCUGGAAGCAUCCAAUGGGCUUAGAAGCUGUGGCUAAGGAGGAUGGAUGAGCGUGCAUGAGGCUGAGCACCGGACUGUAUCAUCCCCUUUGGAAAACUGGCUGCAACCAGAGGGCUAGGGAAGUUGGGAGAAAAAUCUGCCUUGAAAACAAAUGAUAUGCCACGUCUUUGGAACCACACAGAAAACACAAUGAGCAUGCAUUGCUUGGUGAUAAAGGUGUGGAAUAGUGCUAGGAGAAUGAGUGAAGCAGUUACUGUGCAAUUUUAGUUCAUUUUCUGUGUAAGGACAGCAGUAAGAGGAUGGCUCAUAGAUAUACCUGCUGGGAAGAGCCGAUGAGCUACUGCAGAAUAAGCUGCAGUGGUGUAGCAUUAAGUCAGCUCUGCUCCAAACAGGGCCAGGUAGCACUGCACCACACGCCAAAGGAGCCCUAUCUACACUAGGAUUCAUGCUUUGCACUGUUGUUAGCAACAGAAAGUUUUUGCUGGAAAAAAUAAAAUCAACAAAGGCACCAUCUAGAAUUGUAUCCAUUAUGUUUUUGCAAAUGAUCUAAGUUCUCUUUAAAGGCCAGGCACAUGGGACCAAAUAUUUAGAGAGGUUCUUAGUGUUAAAAAUAAAUACACAUCAGUGCAUAGCACGUACAAGAGAAUUAGUUAGCUAACUUUUAUUGUAUAUAUACCAUUAUAUGAUUUACUUGUUGAGUAAAUCAUUUGAAUGAGCAAAUUCAGGUGCAAGCCUGCAGCGAAGCUCGGUGCUUAGAAAGCUUGGCUGCCUGUCUGUCUGUCCCUUUCUCUGGGGAAUGCAGACGUAUCUCUGGAGCAGGCAGACUGUCACAAGGCACUGGGAAAACUGCUUUUGACACCUGUACUCGGAAAACAUUGUUUUCCUUGGUGUGAAGUAUAGUUUGCUUUUAGGGAUGCAAGGAUGCAAGAAAUGUUUUUCAUCAAAUUAAGAAAAAUGAAGGCGCUUCUGUAGCAGACUAAUUAGAUAUCUAUCUAAAAUAAAUGUUUUUUUUAACGCCUGAUUUCUUUUUUAAAUAUAUAAAUACCAGCUAGUGGUUUAAAGCUCCUGUAGUUGUGAAUGGCUCUGCUGUCCCACACUGCAAGCUAAGUUUUUAUUACUUCUUCACAAGAAAUUUAUUUUGCUGACAUGGGCCCUAAUCCAGUAAAGUGUUAAAACAUAUGCUUAAUUUUAAGCAUGCGAGUAAAGCCAACAGCACAAAUUUAAGCACAAAUUUAUGUUUGGUCUAGCUGGGGCUAUAAUUUCUGGGUUACGGUCUUGAGGAUUGUGUGCUUUUCUUAGAAUAAGCACCCUCCUGAAGGAAAAAGAAGACGGUCAUGUUUUUUUAAGGUAUUAUGUUAUUUAUCAGAAGAUCUUGCAAAGAAAUGCACAAACGAGGAAAUGCUGAAAAUUUUGGGACAUCAAUGAGUUCUUUUAAAUAUGGAAGUCAUGCAAUCCGAUGAAAAUUCCCAUCACUCUCCUCCUCAACUUCCACAUGUUGUUGUGGUAGCUGAACACAUCAGGGGCAUGAGCUGGUUGUUUCAUGACUGACCAGCCAGCUGCCUCAGGAAUUCCUCCUGAUACUUUUCACGUAGAGAAAGCCUUAUUUUUUGCAUGGGCUCUUCUAGCCAGGUUGAGUAUUUGAGCUAAGAGAAGGGGUGAUCUUCCUUACUCCUAGUGAGCUGGUGAAGAGUUGGAAGUUUAGUAUUUCUUAAUAAUUUGCUCGGUGAUAUCAAAAUGUUAUUAGCUGUGGAUAUAUACAAGUGACCUUUUCUUAGGGAAGAUAAAAGCCUCAGAGAUGAUGAGUGAAUCAUAGCUCAAAUGGAACCUGAAAGUCACAGAGGUCAAACAGGAAUUUGGUGAUUUUGAUGUAGAGAACAGAGGAUGGCUGGCUGCACAGUGAGUUGGGUUCCUGCAAUUUUCAUCCUGCUGGCAGUCUCCGGCAGACCUAGGACAGAGUGGACCAGCAAUCUGAGCUGCCUUCUCCUUACACAGGCUUGCAUGAGAUCUGGGAUGAAACAAACUGGUGUGGUGUGUAUAUGCUUACAGGAGUGAUUCUGUUUCAUUACACUGGUGAGUUUUCUGCAGAAAUGGCAAAGCCAGUGCUUCUCUACCUUGAAAUAAACUGUUUCUAAUAUAUGCCAGCAUUAGAAAACUGCAAGGUACCUUUUUUUUUUUUUUUUUUUUUUUUUUAAAUGCAGGACGGCUUAAAGGCUUUGUGUGUUCCAUUUGUACCAUGCAAGUUGUCAAGCACCACAGCUGAACGGAAGAAAGAAUGUGGGGAAUCUCUGCUAAGCUUUAGUUUUACAUACUUAAGAGCAGGCACAGGAUUUGUUCAGAGUUUUAUUAUCGGGUGAGGAGUUAAGGUAAUUACAGCAGCAAGGCAGAAGGCCAAAAGAUGAUGAAGAAGUCUAAUACCAGGCACCAUUUAGGUUUAGAGUGUACUGUGGGUUAUUUUUUAAAAUAUACUAGCCACCUACUGAUGACCUCCUCCUGGGGAAAUUUAAACACAAUUUAAUUAUUGCACCUCAUGUGUUAACAUUUACAAUAAGAUUAAGGGCACUGCAGUUUACACUCUAGUGCUCGCACUUACACAGUGUGUAAAGAGAAGGGAUUUGACUGAAGUCAGGGAGACAGAAGAGGUUAAAAUCAGUAGCUGGAAAAUGAAAGAGCUGUAAGGCAUUCUGCAUGUUUGUUACUAUACUAUACUAUGCAAGUAUUAAAAACUUAUUUGAAUAUGGAACGGGAAAGUCAUUUGUUUGGACUUCAAGGUAGGUUUCUUGCAAGUUACACCUGUUCAGAAGACCAUUCUUUGCCUAAGGUUUCAACACAGUGUAAACUACAAGCAAGUGGUUGAGAG
ensembl:lncRNA